rnacentral:misc_RNA from 1 species
CGUUAUCUUCAUGAAUUUAUUCAAAGCGGCGAUAACGGCUGUGAAAAAUCGUAUUUAGAGGUUUCGUCAUUACAUUCUCGAUUUUUAGCUCACCGAACCGCAGAUUAUGUGCCUCUACACCUUGACGAAAAGCCCUGCUGCGGUCUCUCUUCUGCCCUUCCACGCUCUUAUUUAACGAAACAGGGCGCCCCAGCGUGACGUUAAGCUCCAGUAUUCACCCUGAAGCUGAGCAGCCCCUUCGCCGUGCCAGCCACCGCGCCACUUCCGGUGGUGACAGUGUCGAGCACCUACGACGUAAGGGUGUGGGCUCCGUGCGAUUUAGCGCCACUGAGGUUGGCGGUGAGGCCGUGGGAUGGCGUUGCGUUGGAGCUGCAUGCGACCGUGAACACGUUUGCACGAUUCGUAUGAUGGGUAAAGCGUCGGCGUGACUCCAACGUACGCCACGCGGCCAUGGCUGCCUACCGGUGCCGGGAGCCUGUGCCGCGCCGAGAGGGGGGAGGGAUGCAGCACGUGCGUCCGGCAUGAUGGGGGAGCGGCUGUGAGGCGACCUGCGAGGCGGGCGGGUAGCGCUGGAGGCAGGGGCCGUGCUCCGAUGGCCGGGUCGGCAUUUUGCUGGAAGGCGUCUCCACCGCUGCGCCGCACCACGCGAUAGGCAGGAGCAGAGUGGAUUUUGACCUCGUGUUUUGCUGCAGGGAAUCGACACAUUGAAAAGCACCGAAAAAAAAACCUUGCUCUUCUUUCACUACUUGAUAGAAGUGCUCGAGGGGUUCAGCUCGAGUGAUAAACUGAGGAAGCUGGUUGUGCGGCCGGAAAGACUGACACAAAGGACAAGGUGCCCUAGGUUUCCAACGUAGGACAUUUCUGGUUGAAAGCAGUUAACUGCAAAGUUGUGCUCACGGUUGCGCUCCAGCGCGACAACUGGUACCGUUGAUGGUGCCAGAAGCUUCAAAAGGACAAGAUGAAAGUAUGGUGUGCAUAUCCAGGACAAAGCGUUCCCGUCUGCUUCUGUUUUUGUGUUGUUGCUUUCGGCACCUCUACCUCCCUUCCCCUUUCAG